rnacentral:rRNA from 1 species
UACAGAGGGUGCGAGCGUUGUUCGGAAUUAUUGGCGUAAGGGCGCGUAGGCGGUGCGGUAAGUCCGCAGUGAAAUCUCUGGGCUCAACUCAGAGUCUGCUGUGGAAACUGCCGUGCUUGAGUGUGGGAGAGGUGAGUGGAAUUCCCGGUGUAGCGGUGAAAUGCGCAGAUAUCAGGAAGAACACCCGUGGCUAAGGCGGCUCGUCUAGUACGGUACUGACGCUGAGAGCGAAACGUGGGAGCGAACAGGAUUAGAU